rnacentral:rRNA from 1 species
GCAUAUCAAAAAGCGGAGGAAAAGAAACCAACAGGGAUUGCCUCAGUAACGGCGAGUGAAGCGGCAAAAGCUCAAAUUUGAAACCCUCGGGAUUGUAAUUUGAAGAUUUGGCAUUGGAGAAAGCUAACCCAAGUUGCUUGGAAUAGUACGUCAUAGAGGGUGACAACCCCGUCUGGCUAACCGUUCUCCAUGUAUUGCCUUAUCAAAGAGUCGAGUUGUUUGGGAAUGCAGCUCAAAGUGGGUGGUAAACUCCAUCUAAAGCUAAAUACUGGUGAGAGACCGAUAGCGAACAAGUACUGUGAAGGAAAGGUGAAAAGAACUUUGAAAAGAGAGUGAAAUAGUAUGUGAAAUUGUUGAUAGGGAAGGAAAUGAGUGGAGAGUGGCCGAGGUUUCAGCCGCCCCUCGUGGGCGGUGUACUGCCGACGCCGAGUCAUCGAUAGCGAGACGAGGGUUACAAAUGGGAGCGCCUUUCGGGCGUUCUCCCCUAACCCUCCACACUGCCACCGACGACAUAAUCCACCCAUUUCACCCGUCUUGAACCACG